rnacentral:rRNA from 1 species
AUUGAACGCUGGCGGCAGGCUAAACACAUGCAAGUCGAACGAGUGGCGGACGGGUGAGUAAUGCUUGGGAAUCUAGCUUAUGGAGGGGGAUAACUACGGGAAACUGUAGCUAAUACCGCGUACCAUAGGAUGAGCCCAAGUGGGAUUAGGUAGUUGGUGAGGUAAAGGCGUACCCAGCCGACGAGCUCUAGCUGGUCUGAGCGGAUGACCAGCCACAUUGGGACUGAGACACGGCCCAGACUCCUACGGGAGGCAGCAGUGGGGAAUAUUGCGCAAUGGGGGCAACCUGACGCAGCCCUCCCGCGUGAAUGAAGAAGGCCUUCGGGUUGUAAAGUUCCUUCGGUAGCGCGCCGUUAACUACAGAAGAAGCACCGGCUAACUCCGCGCCCGCAGCCGCGGUAAUUC